rnacentral:rRNA from 1 species
GAUGAACGCUGGCGGCGUGCCUAAUACAUGCAAGUCGAGCGAACAGACGAGGAGCUUGCUCCUCUGACGUUAGCGGCGGACGGGUGAGUAACACGUGGAUAACCUACCUAUAAGACUGGGAUAACUUCGGGAAACCGGAGCUAAUACCGGAUAAUAUAUUGAACCGCAUGGUUCAAUAGUGAAAGACGGUUUUGCUGUCACUUAUAGAUGGAUCCGCGCCGCAUUAGCUAGUUGGUAAGGUAACGGCUUACCAAGGCAACGAUGCGUAGCCGACCUGAGAGGGUGAUCGGCCACACUAGAACAGAGACACGGUCCAGACUCCUACGGGAGGCAGCAGUAGGGAAUAUUCCGCAAUGGACGAAAGCUUGACGGAGCAACGCCGCGUGAGUGAUGAAGGUCUUCGGAUCGUAAAACUCUGUUAUUAGGGAAGAACAAAUGUGUAAGUAACUAUGCACGUCUUGACGGUACCUAAUCAGAAAGCCACGGCUAACUACGUG